rnacentral:rRNA from 1 species
GAUAAACGCUGGCGGCGCACAUAAGACAUGCAAGUCGAACGGACUUAACUCAUUCUUUUAGAUUGAGAGCGGUUAGUGGCGGACUGGUGAGUAACACGUAAGCAACCUGCCUAUUAGAGGGGAAUAACAGUGAGAAAUCAUUGCUAAUACCGCAUAACAUAUACCGGAGGCAUCUCUGGUAUAUCAAAGCUUAAUGUGCUGAAAGAUGGUCUCGCGUCUGAUUAGCUAGAUGGCGGGGUAACGGCCCACCAUGGCGACGAUCAGUAGCCGGUCUGAGAGGAUGAACGGCCACAUUGGGACUGAGAUACGGCCCAG